rnacentral:lncRNA from 1 species
AGAUACUGCAAAGUGUAAAUUUUGUUUUUUUUGGUCCGUUUGAUCUCAACAGCUGUGUGAAUCUGGCUGACCGUUACGAGACGGUUUUCCACCCUGUUGCCCCUAACAGCGUUCCAUACCCAUCGCAUGUGAAGCACUUUGAAAUCCAGAUGUUUACUUUCGUGCAGAAUGAUGUCGUACUUCAAGAUCAGAUUUUUGUACACUGUGAUGCUAUGCUUUGUGAUGAGAGUGAUGGAAUCUGCAAGAGACACUGUCCAUCUCCCAUGCCUUUAAAAACUGGGAAGAAAGGUAUGCCCACUGUGACUUUAUGUAUUUACUUUAAAAUUGCACAUUCUAAUUACCAGUUGGUCUGUAAUUUUGUUUAUGGCUUUUUUUCCCAUGACAAGUACGAAGAGAGACCACUAAUGUCCAGUCCCAGAGAGUACAGCUGUCAUCAAGAAAAAUAUUGCUCUUAGUCGGUUUUGAUUCUGAGUCUUAAUAAAGUCUCGUUCAACACACCUUUUAUCUUGGCAUGUCCUGCAAUUUGUCAGGUGCUUGUAACUUGCUUUUCAUGAGCUCGAGUACAGGUGAGCAGUCUCUGCGUAAGGUCGCAAUGCUUUUAGUUUGAGAAGUUAAACUCUGGUCCAGUAGAUGGUGUGGCAUUUACACACUUUCUGAUGGCAAUGGUUUUUAUUUUGUGCAGUUCAUCUUUUGUUUUGUUUUUAUUUUAUUUUUUUAGAAACUGGUCUAUGCUACACCUUCAAAAACAGAUUGUACAUUAGUUACCAUCAAACACCAUCCUUUAAUCCACAAGUGAAUGGGAAAACUUUGAAGUUAUCUAUUCCUAUAGUAACAUUGAACAUAGUAACAUUUUGAAUCCUAUCUUUGUAUGUUCUAGACUAUACUUGACAAACUGAAGUAAUCUUGCUGUUAGAUGUCAUGAGGGGAUCUUCUCUGUAAUGUAAUUUCUUGUCACAUGAGUUACAAUACGCCUUGCAUGUUGAUUUAUACUAACUUCGUUUUUAGUAUUUAAGGGGA